rnacentral:lncRNA from 1 species
GGCGCGUGCCACAGCGGGCCACCUUUGUGGGACAGCCAGAUCUGGUGUGGGCUAGGAGCCUCUGGCGCUCUGAGGCGCCCUUGGCCGACAGGCUUGCCGGGACCGUGCUCCCGCCCACUGGAUCAAGAUGGAGGAGGAACACAAAAAAGGGCGACCGCUGGCGUUUCAGAUCCAGGGAGAUUUCUAGCAGUCCUUCACCCUUUUGGCAGAUGCUUUACGAAAGAAAAAUUGCCAACCUUUGCUCUAAAGCAUAAUUGAGGAAAAAUAAAGGAAAAAUGGAACAGGUGAACCUAAGAAACCAACAAAGCAGAAGGAAGAACAAAGCAUUAAACUAGUAAAACAACACACCCUCCAUCAAAAUCAGAAAAUGCUCCACACCUAUAGCACCAAUUCUUCCAAUCAAGAUUGAUCAUGGCAUGCCUUCCUGCUAAGUCUCAACAUGGCCUUUCAAUUAGUCUAGUGCUCCAAGUAUCAAUCAAUGGGAAGUGACACUUGAAACCAAUUUUCUAUCCGGAACCUCUUCUUUAGAGGAUGUAACCAAGCUUCAUAUGCUGAAACUAUUUUUCUGGAAAAAGAAGUAAAUUUGAAGAAUUCAAAGGUUUUGUAGGGUGCUUAUCCUUAAGUUAGAAGUCAUUCCUGGUCUCUGCUUUUCUGAACUGGACUCAGCAGCCCUCCAAGUACAAUUUUUAGAGACCAACUGGAAAGAGAAAGAACUGAAAGCUUCUAAGAAACAUCUGUCUUCAGAGGAAGGAGAGAGGAACUCCUGUCAGAGGCAGGACACCCAAUGAUUAUGAAAUAUGGAUGGAAUCUGGUCGAAAAGCCAAGAAAAAAAGGAAAAACAUGGGGGAUUGGACCUAAACUGACUGAUGACCUUCAUGGAAUUUGGACUGUCAUCUACCUCUUCAGAAAUAGAGAAAAAUAUGGUCCUUGGCCAUGUGAAUAUCACCUCUCCUAGUCUUCCAACCUGCUGUGAUUAGAAAGGAAGGCAAGGCAACACAGUUUCAAAGGGUUUUCAUGCUGCAUGAGUUUGGUUUGUCUUCAGGCAUGUAUAUUUAAUGCUCAUAUAUUUAGUUGCUAAAUCUGUAUGCAACUCCAGGAUUAAAAUAUGUUUUGCAUGAAAGGUUCAAAUGAAAGAAAAGGUCACAGAGGGGUCUGGGUAGACACAUUCUCUAAAGUUCUUUUGACAGUAAACUCAAAAUACAAUGCAGAAAAAAGCAUAACCUCUGUGAGUUUAAUGUAAAACUGGGAAUGUUUUCAAGAAGGGCAAUGACUUUGUUCCUGAAGUCCACUUUUGUAUUGAAUAAACAUAGUAUAAAAUUUUAUCUUACAGCUGCAAACAGUUUUUGUUUCAAAGUUUACUAAUUCUAACUUAAAGAUUUCAAAAUAACUAAUGAAUUGCUCAGAAUUUCAAGUAGGCCCCAUGCUUCUCUGACUGAAUAGUAUCUAAAAACUUUGUGUUGUAUUCUCUAUGUCAUUCAAAAUUACAAAUUUCAAGUUGGCCAUAAAGCUAGCUUGUAAUCCUUUUAGAAUGCAAAAUAUUAAUAGUUGCAAAAUCUUUACCAGCUAUACUGAUAUCAUGAUAAGUAGAGAUAAUAAUAAAACACUUUUAUCAAAUAAACAAGUUACUUCUGUUGAGAAGUGAAU